UUGACCUCAAAUCGGGUGAGACUACCCGCUGAACUUAAGCAUAUCAAUAAGCCGGA
rnacentral:rRNA from 1 species